GUCAGAAUCAUGCAUCUCUCCCCUCCUUCCUUUCCCUCUCAUUUAUCAGGUAUUCUUGGGUUGUUCUAAAAUUCAACCUACUGUGAUGAGUAAAUCUGACAGCAUAUGUUUUCCUUCCUCAUAUGUCAAUGGAAUUGAAUUUGAAAGGCAUCAUGGGGAUACUUACAUAAGCUGUAAAAUGAAAAAUAUGCCUAGACUAAAGGGAGGAAGAAAAGAUAUUAAAGGAAAAUGCAAAGAGAAAGUGCAAGAACCUAAAACAGCUAAUUAAUUUUGAGUGUAUAGCAAAUGAGAUAAAUACUCAGCUGCCACACAAAUAAGGUCCUUAAAUGGGUAGCCUUUUCAAUAAGAAAACUACAAAAUUUCACUAACAAAGGAAUCAAGGACAAAAUUUCACUAAGACAGGAAUCAAGGUUGUACCAGCUAAUGUACAAGAUGGCUUAGAAACAAAAGAUUCUUCUUGUACAGGACAACUGAACAAAGUUAUUCAUUCACAUGUCAAUAAAUCCACCAGCUCUAAUACUCAUGAGUGUAUCUAUAAGAUCCAUCCUUGAACAGAACCUUCUCCUUCUUUCAAUAAAUUUUGGAAUUUUUAAGUUAAUGAAACCUCUCAUUUGUCAUCUGCCCUGCAGGUUAGCUGUUCGCUUUGCUUUAGCUUCUCUAGUAGUUAAUAUCUGACUUCCUUAUUUAAUUGUUGCAUGGCUGUUGUGUUAGUGGUCAAAAUACCCAGAAUUUCCUUUCAUGGAUUGGGCAAACCUGGACUUAUUGGUGUUGAGUUUUUGCAUAAG
rnacentral:misc_RNA from 1 species